CUUGUAACCUCGGUUACUAAACCAAUAAACCAUGUGUAGGGUCCGGAAAAAAGAAAAGCUAAGUGAAAAACUCAAUAAAACCCAAAAGUCUGCUGACGUUUCCAGAGGUACCCGAUUUCCUUAGGAAUAAAAUUUUGGAACUAGAAGCCACCCCUACUCCUGCAAAGUCUCCCAGCUCCAAAACUCAGAAAACUUCUUGGAACUCGGUCACCCCCAAGGAGGUGAUGUCGAAAUUGUGUAACUACGACGCACCCCACCAUUUAUGGUUCAGUGUUGAAAUUUAUGUAUA